rnacentral:rRNA from 1 species
UACGUAGGGGGCUAGCGUUGUCCGGAAUCAUUGGGCGUAAAGCGCGUGUAGGCGGCCCGGUAAGUCCGCUGUGAAAGUCGGGGGCUCAACCCUCGAAUGCCGGUGGAUACUGUCGGGCUAGAGUUCGGAAGAGGCAAGUGGAAUUCCUGGUGUAGCGGUGGAAUGCGCAGAUAUCAGGAGGAACACCUAUAGCGAAGGCAGCUUGCUGGGACGAUACUGACGCUAAGGCGCGAAAGCGUGGGGAGCGAACAGG